rnacentral:rRNA from 1 species
UACAGAGGUCUCAAGCGUUGUUCGGAUUCAUUGGGCGUAAAGGGUGCGUAGGUGGUUAGGUAAGUCGGAUGUGAAAUCCCGGGGCUCAACCCUGGAACUGCAUUCGAUACUGCCUGACUUGAGUACUGGAGAGGAGAUUGGAAUUUACGGUGUAGCAGUGAAAUGCGUAGAUAUCGUAAGGAAGACCAGUGGCGAAGGCGGAUCUCUGGACAGUUACUGACACUGAGGCACGAAGGCCAGGGGAGCAAACGGG